UUCAUUUCCUUCUCUUGCAAGCCUUGCCUCCCAACUACCCCAACAAAUAAAUGGGCAGCCACCCACCUUAGCCAAUCAAAAUGGAGGCAGCCACCAUCCUCCCUCUAUAUAAGAGCUUGGCCGGCCACCUCCACUCCCCUUGGCUCAUUUCUUUCACACUCCACUCCCUCAUACCUUCCUCCCCCUUCCUCCCCACGAGCUGCUGCUCCUCCUUAGCUCCAUGGCCGGCCAUGGCCAUGGAAAGCCACCAAGAUGGAGCUCCCCUCCUUCCUCAAGCUUCCCCUCACCAUGAGAGCAUCCCUCCCACUCUCUUCUCCCCUAAUCUUUGAUGAGUCCAGCUCACUUUCUCCUUUCUCCUCUCACUAGAUUGGAUCUUGAUGCAGGUGCAUGUUGGCCCAAGCAUGGAGAAGAUUGAGCUAUCCUCAGAUCUGAAGUUCUUGAGCAAAAUCCAAAUCGAGUGAUUCAAACUUCCACAGAUAGAUCAAGAUCUGGUCAGAUCUGAAUUUGUCGAAUUAAACCAGGAGCUUGGAGACGAAUUUUUGAAUGAAACCAACUGGGGGAUGUUUGGUUUAUACCAUGGUGAUAACCGAGAGAGGCAAUUGCUAAGUCAUGGCACUCUCAUACCUUCACUAGAUUGCGAACGAUUCCGGAGAAGAUGAAGAAGUGGAUCGGACAAGGAUUUUAUUUAUAUUGUUGGGAUUCUUAUAUUGAUGGAGUUGAAGAAGUACAAGGACAAAUAAGUCA